rnacentral:rRNA from 1 species
UUGAACGCUAGCGGGAUGCCUUACACAUGCAAGUCGAACGGCAGCACGGACUUCGGUCUGGUGGCGAGUGGCGAACGGGUGAGUAAUGUAUCGGAACGUGCCCAGUAGCGGGGGAUAACUACGCGAAAGCGUAGCUAAUACCGCAUACGCCCUACGGGGGAAAGCAGGGGAUCGCAAGACCUUGCACUAUUGGAGCGGCCGAUAUCGGAUUAGCUAGUUGGUGGGGUAACGGCUCACCAAGGCGACGAUCCGUAGCUGGUUUGAGAGGACGACCAGCCACACUGGGACUGAGACACGGCCCAGACUCCUACGGGAGGCAGCAGUGGGGAAUUUUGGACAAUGGGGGAAACCCUGAUCCAGCCAUCCCGCGUGUGCGAUGAAGGCCUUCGGGUUGUAAAGCACUUUUGGCAGGAAAGAAACGUCGUGGGUUAAUACCCCGCGAAA